rnacentral:rRNA from 1 species
GGAUAUAAAACUCUGUUGUUAGGGAAGAACAAGUGCCAUAGUAACUGAUGGCACCCUUACGGUACCUAACCAGAAAGCCACGGAUAACUACGUGCCAGCAGACGCGGUAAUACGUAGGUGGCAAGCGUUGUCCGGAAUUAUUGGGCGUAAAGCGCUCGCAGGCGGUUCUUUAAGUCUGAUGUGAAAUCUUACGGCUCAACCGUAAACGUGCAUUGGAAACUGGGGAACUUGAGUGCCGACGAGGAGAGUGGAAUUCCACGUGUAGCGGUGAACUGCGUAGAGAUGUGGAGGAACACCAGUGGCGAAGGCGACUCUCUGGUCUCGUAACUGACGCUGAGGAGCGACAGCGUGGGGAGCGAACAGGAUCUAGAUACCCUGGUUAGUCCACGCAGUAAACCGAUGAGUGCUACGUGUC